rnacentral:rRNA from 1 species
UACGUAGGAGGCAAGCGUUGUCCGGAAUCACUGGGCGUAAAGCGCGUGUAGGUGGUGGGACAAGUCUGCUGUGAAAGCGCCUGGCUUAACCGGGCGAGGUCGGCGGAAACUGUCCGACUAGAGGACGGUAGAGGGGGGUGGAAUUCCCGGUGUAGUGGUGAAAUGCGUAGAUAUCGGGAGGAACACCUGUGGCGAAAGCGGCUCACUGGACCAUAACUGACGCUGAUGCACGAAAGCUGGGGGGAGCAAACAGG